UACGUAGGGGGCGAGCGUUGUCCGGAAUCAUUGGGCGUAAAGCGCGUGUAGGCGGUCCGGUAAGUCCGCUGUGAAAGUCGGGGGCUCAACCCUCGAAUGCCGGUGGAUACUGUCGGGCUAGAGUGCGGAAGAGGCGAGUGGAAUUCCUGGUGUAGCGGUGAAAUGCGCAGAUAUCAGGAGGAACACCAAUGGCGAAGGCAGCUCGCUGGGACGGUACUGACGCUGAGACGCGAAAGCGUGGGGAGCAAACAGG
rnacentral:rRNA from 1 species